rnacentral:rRNA from 1 species
CUGCGGAAGGAUCAUUAACGAGUUCCGGGUCGUCUCCGGCCCGAUCUCCCAUCCCAUGUGUACCUUUCUCGCGUUGCUUUGGCGGGCCCGCUGAGGCGGGGUCCAUCCCCUCUCACCGCCGGCCUCCUGGGCUGACGAGCGCCCGCCAGAGAUACUCGAAACUCUGAUUUGAUCAGUGUCGUCUGAGUAACAUACAAUCGUUAAAACUUUCAACAACGGAUCUCUUGGUUCUGGCAUCGAUGAAGAACGCAGCGAAAUGCGAUACGUAAUGUGAAUUGCAGAAUUCAGUGAAUCAUCGAAUCUUUGAACGCACCUUGCGCCCCUUGGUAUUCCGAGGGGCAUGCCUGUUCGAGCGUCAUUACACCACUCAAGCUCAGCUUGGUGUUGGGCCAUCGCCCGCCUCGCUUCGGCGAUGGGCGUGCCUGAAAAUCAGUGGCGGUGCCAUCCAGUUCAAGCGCAGUAAGAAUCACUUCCUCGCUUUGGAAGCCUGGGCGGUCGCUAGCCAGACAACCUUAUUAUACUCUUCUAAGGUUGACCUCGGAUCAGGUAGG